AACAACAUAUGACCAGUGUCCUCUCCACAGUCACUGAGCACACAGGACCUCACCAUGGGAUGGAGCUGGACCAUUCUCUUCCUCCUGUCAGUAACUACAGGUGUCCACUCCCAGGUCCAGCUGCAGCAGUCUGGGGCUGAGCUGGUGAGGCCUGGGUCCUCAGUGAAGUUGUCCUGCAAGGCUUCUGGCUACACCUUCACUACCUAUGGUGUGCACUGGGUGAAGCAGAGGCCUGGACAGGAUCUGGAGUGGAUUGGAUGGAAUGUUCCUGGAAAUGAUGAUACUAAGUACAAUCAGAAGUUCCAGGGCAAGGCCAAACUAACUGCAGACACAUCCUCCAGCACAGCCUACAUGGAGCUCAGCAGCCUGACAUCUGAGGACUCUGCGGUCUAUUUCUGUGCAAGAGACACAGUGUUCCAACCCACAUCCUGAGUGUGUCAGAAACCCUGGGGGAGCAGGAAGCUGGAACUGAGAUGACAGAGAAGCUUAGACUUGCUCAGAAAUAAUCAUUCUGAGUGUUCCUUUGAUUGUCAGUUCAUAGUCUUAUAGGGUCUUUGUCAACUUUUCAAAAGGACUGCUGGGAAUAAAGUGAUGUUGAUUCAGGAUGCCCUUAGAGUGCACUACGCCUUGACCAGCUGUUUACCAGGGACCACCUCCAUUGACAAGAUUCUCUUUUUAGAAACUAAAAUAGGACAAACUGUAGCAAUUCAUUAUGAAAUAAACAUCUGUUUAGUCUAAGGGACUGGGACUGUUGUUGGAGUAGCUAGGAAUUAGCUAUAACAUGAAUCAGGUCAGCAAAAGACAUAUCAACUGCAUGUGCACAAACAAAACCCCUUUUACAGUCCAAUUUGUCUUCCCUAAAACAAGCAGAGGCAGUUUGUUGGAAGGGUCCCAUAGAUUUUGUGCUAGGUGAUUUAACCUCUUCUAUGAAAUCUAAUUUAAUGUCUUUAGUUAUUGAUACAUCUGAUCAUGAACUGCAUUUGGCAGUAGUAAUCAAAUCUCUUAUUGUUUUAGGAUUGGAAAUAGACCAGAGUGUCACAUUGUGGAGUCCCCAGAGUGUGUUGUCUGCUACUUUGGCAACAAUUUGUGCUCCUGCUCAGAUAACACUGGGGAAAGAACAGUGGGAUUCCAAGCAGGGAAUAUAGAGACCUGAUUCUGUCAUCAGCAGCCCUGGAUGCUCAUUCCCCUGUUUCCUGAAAUUGGAUUCUCUUUGUCACCAUGUUUAGAUUGACAUAGGCUGGACCAGUAAAAAAGCAUCUUACAUUGUUCAGGUGUUUUAGAUGGAGGUUUUAUUAUACUGAGGAUGCCUAGCAAGUUUCUGUCUAUAUUAUUUCUGUAAAUGGCCUAUUCCCUCCACAUGUAAAACGCAUAUGAGCCCAUAAUAACAUUGUGGUGAUAUUUUAUUUGUGCAUUAAUAAAUAAAUCAGAGAUAUCAGGGAAAUAUGAAAAGCCAUGAGCUAACCUCACCUUACCAACUCUGCAGCUUUCAAGGAGAGAGGCUUUCUAUCUACCUAGGCUUAUAUGCCUUGCUUUUUUGCCCUUUCAUUGGCUCUUAGACCAGCUACCUCACUUGCUCUUCCUGCACAAACUCUG